rnacentral:rRNA from 1 species
UACAGAGGGUGCGAGCGUUAAUCGGAAUGACUGGGCGUAAAGAGUGCGUAGGUGGUGAGAUAAGUGAAAUGUGAAAGACCUGGGCUUAACCUGGGUACUGCAUGUCAUACUGUCUGACUAGAGUGUGGUAGAGGGAAACGGAAUUUCCGGAGUAGCGGUGAAAUGCGUAGAUACCGGAAGGAACAUCAGUGGCGAAGGCGGUUUCCUGGGCCAUAACUGACACUGAGGCACGAAAGCGUGGGGAGCAAACAGG